rnacentral:rRNA from 1 species
UACGUAGGGGGCUAGCGUUGUCCGGAAUCAUUGGGCGUAAAGCGCGUGUAGGCGGCCCAGUAAGUCCGCUCUGAAAGCCCGAGGCUCAACCUCGGGAGGCGGGUGGAUACUGCUGGGCUCGAGUACGGAAGAGGCGAGUGGAAUUCCCGGUGUAGCGGUGAAAUGCGCAGAUAUCGGGAGGAACACCAAUGGCGAAGGCAGCUCGCUGGGACGUUACUGACGCUGAGACGCGAAAGCGUGGGGAGCAAACAGG